ACCUUGUCUUUGUUUAGCGAUGUAUCUGGCUUGUCUCAGAAGACGCUAGGUCCAUUGUUGGACUUGGACAGUGC
rnacentral:pre_miRNA from 1 species